CGCCUCCGCGGUGGUUGUUGCCCUUGCCCUCCUUCUUGUGUUUCACCCGGCGGUUCUGGAACCAGAUCUUCACCUGUUUUUCCGACAGAUUCAGGAGUUGAAUGAACCCACUGGUGGCUCAAGGCUAGGCAUUGGCACCAAUGCCUUUUCAUGAUGCACAGGAAGAGGGAUUACUUGGAAAGAGAAGAGAGGUGGGAUAUGCCCUUAGAAUUAUCAGUGAUCAUUUCUGUCCUUCGUGGCCGAAGGCAAUGGAGUGGGAAUGCUCAUUACAGAAAGGCCUGAUGUUGCAGUUUCAGCAUCCAUCUUAGACCAUUAGGUGACCUUGAAAAUGGAAGCUUCAUGCUGGGACUGGUGGAGCAGAAAGAUGGAGGAACCAAGGAUCCUGAUGCUCAAGAAACUGCCUACCUACCUAUUUUGUGUGAGUGAAAAGAAACAUUUCUUUUUUAUUAUUAUUUUAAUUUUGUAUUACAUGCAACUGUAUCUAAUCCCAACUAACAUGUUCCUCAUCCCCUGAUCCAUGCAGAUAAGAGUCAAGCCAAAUACAGGAAUCAAUGGAAUUAUGUCAUACCUGCUGGAAUAUUCUCUUGUCCUUUCCCAAUUAGAUUACAAAUCAUUAUGGACAGGGAUAAAGACUGGUUUAUACUGGUGUCACCAACCUUUAUCACAGUGCAUGGUACACUGUCUAUGUUUAAUAAAUGCUGAACACUAGGGCUGAAGGCAAUGAAGGUGUCCUUUCUUUGCACCUAUUCAGUGCAUCGUAGUUGCAACUCGAUGAGCAUCAUGAGAGAUUUCAUAAGUUCUCUGAGCUUUAGUUUUCUUGUAGUAGAAUUGAAAUGACACCUCCCUUUUUAGGAUCAAAGAUGAUAUGUGUGUGUCUUAGUUGUCUAGUGCUGCUAUAACAGAAAUAUCACAAGUGGGUGGCUUUAACAAACAGAUGUCUGAAUUCAGAGCACCAGCUCUAGGGGAAGCCUUUUUCUUUCUUUUGGCUCUGGAGGAAGGUCCUUGUCUCUUCAGUUUCUGCUUCCUGUUCCUUGGAGAUCUUCUUGUGUCUUGGCAUCUAUCUUACCCCAUCUUUACUCUGCUCACUUGUUUAAUCUCUUUUAUAUCUCUAAAGAGAUUGACUCAAGAUACACCCUACACUAAUCCUGCCUCACUAACAUAACGAAGACAACCCAUUCUCAAACGGAUUAUAACCACAGGUGUAGAGGUUAGGAUUUACAACACAUAUUUGGGGGGAACACAAUUAAAUCCAUAAGAGUAUAUAACCUGAAUGUCACCAGGCUUUCCAAUCUAUGUGUACAAGUAAAGUUAAUUAAUAUUGAUAACCCAGAGCUUCCACUUUGGCCUGGCAAAACAUCUGGCCUCAUUGGCAAAAUGGUUCCUUUCCUUAGAUGGUUUUCUGGGAGUUCUGAAAAGUAUGUCUUACCAGUGCCCACAGGCCAAUCUUUGCUGGUACCCACCAAGCCGCCCACCAUGUUCUUUCUGUCCAGGAAGGCUCCCCUGAGUCUGUGUGUGUUCAGCCUGAGAUAGGUCCACUGUCUCCUUCCGCAUUUUGCUCCAGAGAGCACUGGCUAUUCCUUGUGCAUUUGUAAAGCCUUAGCAUGUUGUUUAAGACGGUACACCCUCAGUAAAAGUGAGCUAUUUUUUUUUUUUUUUUUUCUGGACGACGGCAUGGAUUUUCCAUUGGAGGUGAUUUACUUUUUCUUCCCCCUUGAUGUCACUGGAAGCAAAGAUAAUUUCUGCAGGGGCAAGGGUGUUCUCCUGCUCAGGAACCUUGAAGAUGAGUGUGGAACAUCUUACUGAGGAUUUCAAUAAGAAGCGUUUGUAGAUUUCCGGAACACACGGUGAUUCCCUGGCAAGAGAGCAGCUGGUCAUUUCUCUGGCAAGCGAAUGCUGGGAGGGGAAAAUGGCUGCCCGUUCAGCCCCUCACCAGAGCCUGUUUCCCAAGGCCAGGGAGGCAGCCUCUUCCCCAAACUCUCUGGUGCAGGACCAGCAGAAGAAAGGCGUUAUCAUAAAAUGGAGAGAGCAGACUGAAGGUACCUCACAUUAGCAGACAAUAUUGCCUUGAUUGCAGACAACACACAUGAAUUGAAUUGAUAAAGGAAUCUUCCCAUCAAAGCCAGAAAUGAGUGGAAAUUAACUUUAACAAAGUAAGCAACUGUGCUCAAGAGACAAGCAGAAGAAACCCAGUGCACACUUUGUGCAUGUCACAGACACGAGGAGCAAAGUGUGCGGGGCCCCAUCGGCGUGCGCAAGAGUGAUUAAUAAACACUUAUGGGGACAUUCAUCCGACAGGCAGUGGACAAAGCCUGCAAUGAUGGGGAGAAGGGGCAUUUCUUCUUGAUAGAUGUAUCUGAAAUGCUCAUUUACUCCUUUUUGAUGGAUUUAAAUGUCCAGGUAUUCUCUCUCCAUAGAAAUUGAUUCUGAAAUGGUGCUGGGUUAAAAAUAAAGGCUAGAGAUUUAACUACAUGGAAUGUGGCAGAAAAUGUAUUUGUAGUAGUCAUCAGUGCAUAGAUUGAAAUGCACUGGAGUUUAACGGAGGCUUUUUUUGGGGGGGGUGGUACUUAGUCUUUUUAAAGUAUCAAGUAAGGUAGUCAAGGCAGUGUUUCCACUUGAACACCACAUCAUUCUGCUGAAGAUUCUGUAAAUAACGUUAGAGACUAAAUAUGAGUUUUCUCCCCUGUAUGAGACAGUUUAGAAAUUAUCUGUUGGAAACCGGUUCUCAAAGAAUAGACUUAAGUUUGGACUAUUGUUAUUGUUGUUAGCUGCUGUUGCGUGGGCACCAACUCAUGGUGACCCUCUAUACAACAGAACAAAAUGUCACCUGGUCCUGGGCCAUCACCAUGAUCUUUGAUAUGUUUUAGUCCAGUUUUGUGGCUGUGUGUCAAUCCAUCUCAUUGAGGUUUCUCUUGUUUUCUCUGAUCCUCUUCUUUGCCAAACAAUAAAACUAGCGAUUGGUCUUUCCUGACGACGUGUCCAGAGUAAGCAAUACUGGAUCUGUAUUUUCUAAUGGAAGAUGCAUGCAUAUGGCCAAAGAAGACCGUGACUAAUGCGGUCCCCCUAGGCAGGGGAGUUAGUUAAUUCAGAUCCCAGAUACCUUUCCCCUCAGAUUCCAAGGAUUGUGUUAUCCAACAUUGGCCCCGCCUUCACCCUCUCCUCCUGGAAGCCCAGUUCCAUGCAGGCUCCUGGCAUUCUGUUUGGAAUUCUCCUGUGCCUGCU